AAGGUGUCCCAACCGCACCGCACCGCCCUGGGGAGAAGGGGGCUGGCUCCUGGGGGAGGGAAUGACAGACUCAGUGUCUGGAAUGCAAGCGAUGCGCCGCCCACGGCAGAUCCGGGAGUACUGUGUAUCUGCAUUACUAACAUUUCAUGGGGACAGUUAGAAGAGUCGUAAAAGAUUCCUUGUGGGGAGCUUGUGCAAAACUCUGGGUCCCCCUGGUUCACACUGCUACGUGGGUGAGGACAACACAGAGGAGGGCGGCCCUCGGGACAAGACCUUAAGGCAAGGAGGGCUCUGAGAGAACAGGAAGCUGGCGGAGGUGGGUGGAAGUAGGGAUUUUGUGUGCUGACAAGUGGGAAAUUCCCCCAAGGGAGCCACACAGCCCUCUGCUUCUGCCUGCUUCCAGAGAGCAGACCCGUGUUGUGCAGGGAGAAGAGAAUAAGCUUCUUAGGAAUUCGGGCUCUGCGUUCAAUUGCUGUGUGGCCUUGGCCACACCACACCAUCGACUGCCCCAGGAGCCACCUCCCUGCUCUGCCUGGAACCUUCCUCUGCACGCCCACGGUUGGUAGUGACGGGUCUUUUUCGUUUCUGCUGUUGUCCCCGGACUCUGCUGACUUCCUGUCAACGGGGACUCCAUGUCUUCCCGCGGUGGGCAGGAACGUGGACCCUACGGCCACAGGACUGAACCUGGAGCCCAGGCUCGUUGCUGACAAGUUGUGGAAGUUCAGACGCUGCUGUGUUUAAACGUUAUGGACUUUAAGCUUGUAAGCUUGGCUUACAAAACAAAGACAAAUCAGGCAAUUAUGCCAGCCACACACCCAAGUUUCCAGGAAUAAGAAACAGCAACCUGUGGAAGAGAGCGGCGUCAAAGACAGAAGUAGUAAACGGGGCAGGCGUUUGGACAAGCGGGUAAGGUGCCCGCCCAGCCCGUGCGGGAGCGCCUGGGUUCCCUCCCUGCUCUGGCUGCUGAUUCCAGCUUCCUGCUAAUGAGAUCCUGGUCGGCCUCUCUGCUAUGGCCUGGGAAAGCAGAAGAUGACCCAAGUCCUUGGGCCCCUGCACCAGUGUGGGGGACCCGGAGGAAGCUCCUGGCUCCUGGCUUCGGAUCGGCGCAGCUCAGCCGUUGUUGCGGUCAAUUGGGGAGUGAACCAGCGGAUGGAAGACCUCCUCCCCGCUCCUGCCUCUCCUUCUCUCUCUGUGUAACUCUGACUUUCAAAUAAAUAAAUAAAUCUUUUUUUUU